AAAGGAUGAGAACCUCCGGGGGCAGGGAGGUUCGACCCGAGCGCAGCGAGAGAGCGUUGCGUAAGCAACGACCCGCGGGCGAAGCCGCGUAGCGGCGAUUUAUCCUCUGGCACCGACC
rnacentral:sRNA from 1 species